AUAUAUAUAGAGAGAGAGAGAGAGAGAGAGAGAGAGAGAGAGAGAGAGUCCGGCCACUAUACUCUUAUAAGUACGAUCACCCUCGUACUCAUAAGUUGUUUUCGAUGAUAGAGCUUCCGAAUCGACGAUCCACACCGUUAAACGUUAUCUAGAGCAUUUAAAACAUCUAGAAAUCAAAUUUCAUAAUUUUUCGACAUCAUUUACCUUACGAUCAAAAGGUCACAAAAUUGACAAUUUUUAACGGCCGAUAUAGGAUAUUUGCUAGUUUAACGGUGUAAAAGAAUCGGA
rnacentral:lncRNA from 1 species